GACGAACGCUGGCGGCGUGCCUAAUACAUGCAAGUCGAACGCAGUGGGGACGGGUGAGUAACACGUGGGUAACCUCCCAUCAGAGGGGAUAACACUUGGAAACAGGUGCUAAACCGAUACUGAUGGAUGGACCCGCGGUGCAUUAGCUAGUUGGUGAGGUAACGGCUCACCUAGGCGACGAUCCAUAGCUGGUCUGAGAGGAUGAUCAGCCACACUGGGACUGAGACACGGCCCAGACUCCUACGGGAGGCAGCAGUGGGGAAUAUUGCACAAUGGGCGCAAGCCUGAUACAGCCAUGCCGCGUGUGUGAAGAAGGCCUUAGGGUUGUAAAGUACUUUCAGCUGGGAGGCGUUACCCGCACAAGAAGCACCGGCUAACUCCGUGCCAGCCGCCGCGGUAAUUC
rnacentral:rRNA from 1 species